CCAGGACCCAGGCCGCCCCCCGCCGGCCGGAGGGAGCUGCGACUGGAGACGCCGGAUGGCAGGCGCGCUGCGGUCCCACUGUGCGCCCCGGAGCGGCCGCCACCGCGCUGGAACAUCUUUCGGAGGAGCAGAUCCAUCUCUGUGUCCUCAGUGGCAGCCACAGAGUGACAGGAAGCAAGCCUGCCUUUGAUGGAGGACAGCCCCAAGUGAAGAUCCUGUCCCCUGAUUCAGCACCGAGACUGUCCCAGCUGCAAACUCUGCUCCAAGGCCUACGUGCUGGGAGGUCCAACACAAGCAAACUCGGGGGUCCAUGCCUCCCGUCAGCAUCACUCUGGAGGCACCCACAAAGAUGGGCAUGGUGUUGGAUAGUGACAUCCCUGUGAUUUGAAAAGUCUCUUUGGAGGCAAGAAAGCACAGAUCUACCAACUAAGAGACUUGGGUUCCAAUUUCAACCCCACCACCAAAUUCACUGCCUAUCCUUAAUUGACAAAUUGCUGGACAACUUGACACCUAGAUUCUUUAUCUGUUAAGGGAGAGGGUGCGAUUAGAUAGUUAUUCAAACCACUGUUAGUUCUAAAAGUCUGUAGGAGAAUUUAAUAAUAAUAAUAAUAAUAAUAAUAAUAAGAAGAAGAAGAAGAAGAAGAAGAAGAAGAAGAAGAAGAAGAAAAGAAGAAUCCCACUGCCAUGUUCAUUUUAUGCUCAUAGCAAGGGCUGUUAUUCUCAUUUUGCAGGUGAGGAAACUGCAACUCAGAUUAAAACAUGUACUGAAUGAGAAAACUUUGGGGCUACUCCAAAACUUGCUUGUGGUACUAACUGUAAAACUCUGUAGAUUUACUGCAAUCAUAAGGUUGUAUAAUUAUAAUCAGCAAAUUUUAUAGUAUGUAAAUUAUACCCCAAUAAAGCUGUUGAAAAGAAAAAAAUAAAAUUUGUUAAAGCUAGUAAAUGACAAGAGCCCUUCACCACUACCCCACACUACCAUGGACUGUCC
rnacentral:lncRNA from 1 species